CAAAUGAUGGUGCCUUCAGGACUCUAAGACAGGUGCUGCAUGGCUGUCGUCACCUCCUGUCGUGAGAUGUUGGGUUAAGUCCCGUAACGAGCGCAACCCUUGUCCUUAUUUGCCAGCGCGUAAUGGCGGGAACUCUAAGGAGACUGCCGGUGACAAACCAGAAGAAGGUGGGGAUGACGUCUAUUCAUCAUGGCCCUUACGACCUGGGCUACACACGUGCUACAAUGGGCGGUACAAAGGGUUGCCAAACCGCGAGGUGGAGCUAAUCCCAUAAAACCGUUCGUAGUCCGGAUUGGAGUCUGCAACUCGACUCCAUGAAGUCGGAAUCGCUAGUAAUCGCAAAUCAAAACGUUGCGGUGAAUACGUUCCCGGGUCUUGUACACACCGAG
rnacentral:rRNA from 1 species